AUGUAAUUUCAGAUUCCUCCACUUUUGGUCCCUCAUUUUACGUGCCAAGUAUGCAGAUUCUGUUGACGUGGUGGAAUGAGGGACAAAAAGUGGAAGAAUAUGAAAUUACAU
rfam:Medicago truncatula strain A17 chromosome 4, whole genome shotgun sequence.